rnacentral:siRNA from 1 species
AAGAGGUGUUAUUAGUCCAACCGC